UGAGUAACGCGUAUCCAACCUGCCCUUUACUAUGGGACAGCCCGUCGAAAGGCGGAUUAAUACCGUAUGUUGUCAUGUUGAUGCAUAUUUUCAUGACCAAAGGCUUCGGCCGGUAAAGGAUGGGGAUGCGUCUGAUUAGCCAGUUGGCAGGGUAACGGCCUACCAAAGCGACGAUCAGUAGCCGGCCUGAGAGGGCGGACGGCCACACUGGGACUGAGACACGGCCCAGACUCCUACGGAAGGCAGCAG
rnacentral:rRNA from 1 species